UGCAGUCGAGCGGACAGAAGGGAGCUUGCUCCCGGAUGUUAGCGGCGGAGGGAGAGUAACACGUGGGUAACCUGCCUGUAAGACUGGGAUAAAUCCGGGAAACCGGAGCUAAUACCGGAUAGUUCCUUGAACCGCAUGGUUCAAGGAUGAAAGACGGUUUCGGUUGCCUUUACGAGGAGGAGCCGCGGCGCAUUAGCUAGUUGGUGGGGUAAUGGCUCACCAAGGCGACGAUGCGUAGCCGACCUGAGAGGGUGAUCGGCCACACUGGGACUGAGACACGGCCCAGACUCCUACGGGAGGCACCAGUAGGGAUUCUUCUGCAAU
rnacentral:rRNA from 1 species